rnacentral:rRNA from 1 species
GAUGAACGCUAGCGGCAGGCUUAAUACAUGCAAGUCGAGGGGCAGCGGGGUAGCAAUACCGCCGGCGACCGGCAAACGGGUGCGGAACACGUACAGAACCUUCCUUUAAGCGGGGGAUAGCCCGGAGAAAUCCGGAUUAAUACCCAUAGUAAUACUGGUUGGCAUCAACUGGUAUUUAAAGAUUUAUCACUUAAAGAUGGCUGUGCGGCUGAUUAGGUAGUUGGUGUAGGUAACGGCUCACCAAGCCUUCGAUCAGUAACUGGUGUGAGAGCACGACCAGUCGCACGGGCACUGAGACACGGGCCCGACUCCGUACGGGAGGCAGCAGGUAAGGAAUA